GUUUGACUGGAAAGACAGACUGUGGAGACGUGUUUGAGACGACACACAGGCUGCAUCCGAAAUUCGUGUGUGUAACCUCUUCUCCAUCUGCCACACACAUCUCUACCUAGCACAGGCUGCUCUUCAUCUGCGUCUGAUGAUGACGACCAUGCGCCAUCAAGCCGAGGAUCAACCUCAGGCCAUGUUGUGUCAUCGGCGGCUGACUUGUCUUGACUGGUCAUUACAAACCAAGUUCAUUCUAUACAGCAAGAGGAGAAAGCAAAUUGUCAUCAUAACAGCGAAGCCUCCAUAACACAAGUAAGCUAUGUCAUCCGUCAUGGAAAAGUUGGAUAAACUGAAAAAAUGUGGUGACGGUGAAAUUCAGAAAAUGAGCAACAUACCCAAAAACGAAAAGUUCGAAG